ACCAAAAACCGAUGAGUUUUUGUUGAUCAAACUGAAUUUUAAAUACAGAACUUGUUCACACGACCGGACUGAAUCGGAUCCUAACUAGAACCGAUCCGAGUUUAAUGAACCUUUUCUCCUGAUACUAAUUGGAAUGAACGUUUGGCAUAAAUGAAUGAUUCCGCCGCUUUUACCCACUCUAGUCAACCUUUGACCCGUUCUAGUUAAACAUCUACUACAAGAAGAAUCUUCAAACUUGAACUGGGCCGUUUCACUCCAAUUAGAGAUUCUAUUGGACCCAGUUCGUUGUUUGAGGAACGUUUUUGUGGUAAAAACAGAACAAAGAGCGAUUUUAAGGCUUCUUUGGUCAGUAAAGCUCAUUACACGGAGUCCUGCUUAAAAACCAGAGGAACCAGAACUCAACCCUGGACAGGAUUACAGAAAACCAUUUCCCUCUUCAUCUCCAUCUAAAGCUCACAACAAGAACCCAAAUAAGAAGCAGGUACUGGUACUGGUGUCCUGUCAUCAUGCAGGUGGAAGCUCAGGGGAUGGGAGCAGGAGAGAAACAUCAGGAUCUGAGAUGAGGAAACAUCUUGACGUCUGAUGGGCGGAUGGAGAAGAAACCAAAGUCCACUUUUAAAAAUGAUUUUCUUCUCCUUUGGGUUCUGGUUGAUGUGAGGAAGAAUAGUUCUGGGUGGAGAUAGAGAGGAAGAUUCCAGAAGAAAAGUUUUAUCUGCCAUUAGUGUCGAAUAAUCCUGGUGAGGAUCCAUGAAAGGUGGUCGUAUCGGAACCGCAGUGAAACCCAAUACUGAACACUGGACUGUUUUAAUUUGCACUCAGCUGGAUUAUAUUCCAGACGGAGUGAAUUGGACCGGUACAUGUGGGUUUCUAUUUAAAUUAAUUAAAAUAGAAACUCUGACUUAGGUUCUGUCACACAACGCAGUCUGGGCCCGGCAGCAGAGAAGGUUCUGUCACACAACGCAGUCUGGGCCCGGCAGCAGAGAAGGUUCUGUCACACAACGCAGUCUGGGCCCGGCAGCAGAGAAGGUUCUGUCACUUCCAGAUUUAAACAAAGAUCGGACUGUGGUCCAGCUCGUCCUGCAGGGUUUAGCUCCUCAGCAUGACACCUGGUGCUGCAGAGGUCCAGAGACGGACCACUUAUUGGACCCGGGUUCAUGUAAAACAAGCUGCCGUUUGGACUGAUCUCUAAACUCAACUGUACUGAUUUGAGAUGGACCUCCAGUUAGUGGGUUUGAACCUGAGUCAACUGGACUUUAACCCGACCGGAUCGGACUGUGCUGAGGCUAAACGACUCUUCAGGAACUCGGGCUGCUUGUCAGCUUGAAUUUGAAUCCGUUUUUAAAGAAUGUUCUGGCUCAGUUGGACCGUAUCAAAUGCAUCAGUUUAUCUGACAGAUGUACUGAUCUGAGUUUUAAUUGGGUUCUGCUGGGCUUUCAGAAACUAAUUAUCUGAAUAAAAUUGAAUCUGAUCA